rnacentral:lncRNA from 1 species
GAUCGUUAAGAGUAACAAUCGCCCACUGCCUCGCUAAUUGGAACCUAAUGGAUCGUACACCAAGUAAGGAUGAAAGUGAAGAAAUAUAAAUGAAAUGGAUAAGCAAUUAAAUGGUUUAAUUGAAAUAUGGUCAAGGUUAAUUAAUUAUACGAAAGGUUCGUAUUGGGCUUUUAAGUUAGUUUUGGGCUUCGGGGUCCAAAAGGGUUUGGUCCACUAGGCCCAUUAUGUUUAAGUUGUAUGACAACUAAAACAAAUAUGGGCAAAUAGCCCAAUCACUUAAAAGAGGCCGGCCAUAGUGAGGGAGUGGUAAGUUUUGCUUGAUUGGAAAUUUGCCACUCACCUAAGAAAAAAGAUAUAAAAGCAUCUUUAUAGCUUUUACCUCAUUAGGGUUUUCUAGAGGCAAAGAUGAGAAACAUUUUCUCUCUUUUUCUCUAAAGGAGGCCGGCCAUUUAGAGAAGAUAUAGCUAACAAUCUUUUCUUCUCUAAGUCAUCCAUUUCAUCUUCACACCUCAUCCUUGGUGUGGAGACUUAGUGACACCAAAUCUUUGGUGUUUUUGGAGAUCAUUUCCUCACAUCCUCAAGGAGCAAAGGAGCAUCAAAAAGGAAGAAAAUCACAAGGAAGAUCCAAGGAGCUAGGAGGUGACUUGAAGUCCCUCCACUUGGGUGAAUCCCUUGUGUAAACAAGGAU